GCCCCUGUGAAAACGCCCUUCAGUCCUCUGGUUGAGGACAAGGAGCUGGUAUCAGGCACACCUUAGAAAAUAGCCCACAACACCUAGCUCAGCCACACCCCCAAGGGAAUUCAGCAGUGUCAGACAUUAAGCAAUAAGCGAAAGCUCGACUUAGUCAUAGCUAAGAGGGCCGGUAAAUCUCGUGCCAGCCACCGCGGUUAAACGGGAGGCCCAAGUUGAUAAUUACCGGCGUAAAGUGUGGUCAGGGUAACCGCUAACUAAAGUCGAAUGCCCUCUUUAGCCGUGAUACGCAUCUGAAGGUGGGAAGAACAACUACGAAAGUGACUUUAAUAAACCUGAAUCCACGAAAGCUAAGAAACAAACUGGGAUUAGAUACCCCACUAUGCUUAGUCGUAAACAUAGAUAGUGUUCUACACACACAUCCGCCCGGGCACUACGAGCUUCAGCUUAAAACCCAAAGGAUUUGGCGGUGCUUUAGACCCACCUAGAGGAGCCUGUCCUAUAACCGAUGAUCCCCGUUUAACCUCACCCCUCCUAGCCCCAGCCGCCUAUAUACCGCCGUCGUCAGCCCACCCUGUGAAGGAAAAAAAGUUAGCCUAAAUGGUAUAACCUAAAACGUCAGGUCGAGGUGUAGCGAAUGAAGGGGGAAGAGAUGGGCUACAUUCUCUACUGACAGAGUAAAACGAAAGAUUAUGCUGAACUACGCAUGUCUAAAGGAGGAUUUAGCAGUAAGCAGAAAACAGAGUGUUUCGCUGAAACCGGUCCUAAAGCGCGCACACACCGCCCGUCACUCUCCCCAAACCCGUGACGCAAAUAACAUAAUAAAUAUAUAUCAAUACAAGGGGAGGCAAGUCGUAACAUGGUAAGUGUACCGGAAGGUGCGCUUGGAACAG
rnacentral:ncRNA from 1 species